CAGUAGCCACGGUAACACGUAGGGUGCAAGCGUUAAUCGGAAUUACUGGGCGUAAAGCGUGCGCAGGCGGUGUUGUAAGACUGAUGUGAAAUCCCCGGGCUCAACCUGGGAACUGCAUUGGUGACUGCAACGCUGGAGUGCGGCAGAGGGUGAUGGAAUUCCGCGUGUAGCAGUGAAAUGCGUAGAUAUGCGGAGGAACACCGAUGGCGAAGGCAAUCCCCUGGGCCUGUACUGACGCUCAUGCACGAAAGCGUGGGGAGCAAACAGGAUUAGAUACCCCCGUAGUCCCUGUCUCUUAUAC
rnacentral:rRNA from 1 species